GAGGGUAUAGCUCAGUGGUAGAGUGUGUGCUUAGCUUGUACAAGGUCCUGGGUUCAAUCCUCAGUACCUCCA
rfam:Camelus ferus unplaced genomic scaffold scaffold56579, whole genome shotgun sequence.